rnacentral:rRNA from 1 species
AGUGCAUGUGGUGGAUGCCUUGGCAGUCAGAGGCGAUGAAAGACGUGAUAGCCUGCGAAAAGCUCCGGGGAGGCGGCAAAUAUCCUUUGAUCCGGAGAUGUCUGAAUGGGGGAACCCACCUACUUUAAGGUAGGUAUUGCAACAUGAAUACAUAGUGUUGCAAGGCGAACGAGGGGAAGUGAAACAUCUCAGUACCCUUAGGAAAAGAAAUCAAUUGAGAUUCCCUCAGUAGCGGCGAGCGAACGGGGAUCAGCCCAUUAAGUUAUGUGUGUUUUAGUGGAACGCUCUGGGAAGUGCGAACGUAGAGGGUGAUAUUCCCGUACACGAAAGGGCACACAUAAUGAUGACGAGUAGGGCGAGGCACGUGAAACCUUGUCUGAAUAUGGGGGGACCAUCCUCCAAGGCUAAAUACUCCUGACUGACCGAUAGUGAACCAGUACCGUGAGGGAAAGGCGAAAAGAACCCCUGUGAGGGGAGUGAAAUAGAUCCUGAAACCGCAUGCAUACAAGCAGUGGGAGCACCUUCGUGGUGUGACUGCGUACCUUUUGUAUAAUGGGUCAGCGACUUAUAUUCAGUAGCGAGGUUAACCGUAUAGGGGAGCCGUAGAGAAAUCGAGUCUUAAUAGGGCGUUUAGUUGCUGGGUAUAGACCCGAAACCAGGCGAUCUAUCCAUGAGCAGGUUGAAGGUUGGGUAACACUAACUGGAGGACCGAACCCACUGUCGUUGAAAAGCCAGGGGAUGACUUGUGGAUAGGGGUGAAAGGCUAAUCAAGCCUGGUGAUAGCUGGUUCUCCCCGAAAGCUAUUUAGGUAGCGCCUCGGACGAAUACCAUAGGGGGUAGAGCACUGUUUCGGCUAGGGGGUCAUCCCGACUUACCAAACCGAUGCAAACUCCGAAUACCUAUGAGUACUAUCCGGGAGACAGACUGCGGGUGCUAACGUCCGUAGUCAAGAGGAAAACAAUCCAGACCGCCAGCUAAGGCCCCAAAAUCAUAGUUAAGUGGGAAACGAUGUGGGAAGGCAUAGACAGCUAGGAGGUUGGCUUAGAAGCAGCCACCCUUUAAAGAAAGCGUAAUAGCUCACUAGUCGAGUCGGCCUGCGCGGAAGAUGUAACGGGGCUAAAACUAUGUGCCGAAGCUGCGGAUGUAUACUUUGUAUACGUGGUAGGGGAGCGUUCUGUAAGCCGAUGAAGGUGUGUUGAGAAGCAUGCUGGAGGUAUCAGAAGUGCGAAUGCUGACGUGAGUAACGACAAAACGGGUGAAAAACCCGUUCGCCGAAAGACCAAGGGUUCCAGUCCAACGUUAAUCGGGGCUGGGUGAGUCGACCCCUAAGGCGAGGCCGAAAGGCGUAGUCGAUGGGAAAAUGGUUAAUAUUCCAUUACUUCUGUGUAAUGCGAUGAGAGGACGGAGAAGGCUAAAUCAGCCUGGCGUUGGUUGUCCAGGUGAAAGGAAGUAGGCAUGUAUCUUAGGCAAAUCCGGGGUACUCUAUGCUGAGAUCUGAUAGCAAGCUGUACUUGUACAGCGAAGUGGUUGAUGCCAUGCUUCCAGGAAAAGUCUCUAAGCUUCAGUUACACAGGAAUCGUACCCGAAACCGACACAGGUGGUCAGGUCGAGUAGACCAAGGCGCUUGAGAGAACUCUGCUGAAGGAACUAGGCAAAAUGGUACCGUAACUUCGGGAGAAGGUACGCUGUUGUUGGUGAUGGAACUCGCUUCCUGAGCUGACGACAGCCGCAGAAACCAGGCCGCUGCAACUGUUUAUUAAAAACAUAGCACUCUGCAAACACGAAAGUGGACGUAUAGGGUGUGAUGCCUGCCCGGUGCUGGAAGGUUAAUUGAUGGGGUUAGCGUAAGCGAAGCUCUUGAUCGAAGCCCCAGUAAACGGCGGCCGUAACUAUAACGGUCCUAAGGUAGCGAAAUUCCUUGUCGGGUAAGUUCCGACCUGCACGAAUGGCAUAAUGAUGGCGGCGCUGUCUCCAGCAGAGGCUCAGUGAAAUCGAAAUCGCUGUGAAGAUGCAGUGUACCCGCGGCUAGACGGAAAGACCCCGUGAACCUUUACUGCAGCUUGACACUGAACUUUGACCUUACUUGUGUAGGAUAGGUGGGAGGCUUUGAAGCUGGAACGCUAGUUCCAGUGGAGCCGUCCUUGAAAUACCACCCUGGUAAUGUUGAGGUUCUAACUCUGUCCCGUGAUCCGGGACGAGGACCGUGUCUGGUGGGUAGUUUGACUGGGGCGGUCUCCUCCUAAAGAGUAACGGAGGAGUACGAAGGUGCGCUCAGCGUGGUCGGAAAUCACGCGUAGAGUAUAAAGGCAAAAGCGCGCUUAACUGCGAGACCCACAAGUCGAGCAGGUACGAAAGUAGGUCUUAGUGAUCCGGUGGUUCUGUAUGGAAGGGCCAUCGCUCAACGGAUAAAAGGUACUCUGGGGAUAACAGGCUGAUACCGCCCAAGAGUUCAUAUCGACGGCGGUGUUUGGCACCUCGAUGUCGGCUCAUCUCAUCCUGGGGCUGAAGCAGGUCCCAAGGGUAUGGCUGUUCGCCAUUUAAAGAGGUACGCGAGCUGGGUUUAGAACGUCGUGAGACAGUUCGGUCCCUAUCUACCGUGGGCGCUGGAAAUUUGAGAGGAUCUGCUCCUAGUACGAGAGGACCAGAGUGGACGAACCUCUGGUGUACCGGUUGUGACGCCAGUCGCAUCGCCGGGUAGCUAUGUUCGGAAGGGAUAACCGCUGAAAGCAUCUAAGCGGGAAGCCUACCUCAAGAUAAGAUUUCCCUAGGACUUUAUGUCCUCUAAAGAGCCGUUCGAGACUAGGACGUUGAUAGGUUGGAUGUGGAAGCAUAGUGAUAUGUGAAGCUGACCAAUACUAAUUGCUCGUGAGGCUUGACU